GACGAACGCUGGCGGCGUGCUUAACACAUGCAAGUCGAACGGAAAGACCCUGCUUUUGUGGGGUGCUCGAGUGGCGAACGGGUGAGUAACACGUGAGUAACCUGCCCUUGACUUUGGGAUAACUUCAGGAAACUGGGGCUAAUACCGGAUAGGAGCUCCUGCUGCAUGGUGGGGGUUGGAAAGUUUCGGCGGUUGGGGAUGGACUCGCGGCUUAUCAGCUUGUUGGUGAGGUAGUGGCUUACCAAGGCUUUGACGGGUAGCCGGCCUGAGAGGGUGACCGGCCACAUGGGGACUGAGAGACGGCCCAGACUGCUACGGGAGGCAGCAGUGGGGAGUAUUGCACAACGGGCGGAAGUCUGAUGCAGCAACGCCGCGAGCGUGAUGACGGCCUUCGGGUGGUAAACCGCUUUCGCCGGUGACGAAGCGUGAGUGACGGUAAUGGGUAAAGAAGCACCGGCUAACUACGUG
rnacentral:rRNA from 1 species